GACGCGGUGGACGAGUGGUUAAGGCGAUGGACUGCUAAUCCAUUGGCUCUGCCCGCGUGGGUUCGAAUCCCAUCUUUGUCG
rnacentral:tRNA from 1 species